rfam:TPA: Bos taurus chromosome 11, whole genome shotgun sequence.
UCCCUGGUGGCUCAGAGGUUAAAGCAUCUGCCUGGAAUACAGGAGACCUGGGUUCGAUCCCUGGGUCGGGAA